rnacentral:misc_RNA from 1 species
UCCAGCUUAUCGCUGGCGGUCUCCUGAGAGUGCACCUUUCGGUUAGCAACACAGGACAAGGGUUGCGCUCGUUGCGGGACUUAACCCAACAUCUCACGACACGAGCCGACGACAGCCAUGCACCACCUGUAUACCGACCACAAGGGGGGCCGUAUCUCUACGGCUUUCCGGUAUAUGUCAAACCCAGGUAAGGUUCUUCGCGUUGCAUCGAAUUAAUCCACAUGCUCCGCCGCUUGUGCGGGCCCCCGUCAAUUCCUUUGAGUUUUAGCCUUGCGGCCGUACUCCCCAGGCGGGGCGCUUAAUGCGUUAGCUGCGCCACCGAAACGCUAAGCGCCCCGACAGCUAGUUAUCAUCGUUUACGGCGUGGACUAC